rnacentral:rRNA from 2 species
CUGGCGGCGUGCCUAAUACAUGCAAGUCGAACGAGUUCUCGUUGAUGAUCGGUGCUUGCACCGAGAUUCAACAUGGAACGAGUGGCGGACGGGUGAGUAACACGUGGGUAACCUGCCCUUAAGUGGGGGAUAACAUUUGGAAACAGAUGCUAAUACCGCAUAGAUCCAAGAACCGCAUGGUUCUUGGCUGAAAGAUGGCGUAAGCUAUCGCUUUUGGAUGGACCCGCGGCGUAUUAGCUAGUUGGUGAGGUAAUGGCUCACCAAGGCGAUGAUACGUAGCCGAACUGAGAGGUUGAUCGGCCACAUUGGGACUGAGACACGGCCCAAACUCCUACGGGAGGCAGCAGUAGGGAAUCUUCCACAAUGGACGCAAGUCUGAUGGAGCAACGCCGCGUGAGUGAAGAAGGCUUUCGGGUCGUAAAACUCUGUUGUUGAGAAGAAUGGUCGCAGAGUAACUGUUGUCGGCGUGACGGUAUCCAACCAGAAAGCCACGGCUAACUACGUGCCAGCAGCCGCGGUAAUACGUAGGUGGCAAGCGUUAUCCGGGAUUUAUUGGGCGUAAAGCGAGCGCAGGCGGUUUUUUAAGUCUGAUGUGAAAGCCCUCGGCUUAACCGAGGAAGCGCAUCGGAAACUGGGAAACUUGAGUGCAGAAGAGGACAGUGGAACUCCAUGUGUAGCGGUGAAAUGCGUAGAUAUAUGGAAGAACACCAGUGGCGAAGGCGGCUGUCUGGUCUGUAACUGACGCUGAGGCUCGAAAGCAUGGGUAGCGAACAGGAUUAGAUACCCUGGUAGUCCAUGCCGUAAACGAUGAAUGCUAGGUGUUGGAGGGUUUCCGCCCUUCAGUGCCGCAGCUAACGCAUUAAGCAUUCCGCCUGGGGAGUACGACCGCAAGGUUGAAACUCAAAGGAAUUGACGGGGGCCCGCACAAGCGGUGGAGCAUGUGGUUUAAUUCGAAGCAACGCGAAGAACCUUACCAGGUCUUGACAUCUUUUGAUCACCUGAGAGAUCAGGUUUCCCCUUCGGGGGCAAAAUGACAGGUGGUGCAUGGUUGUCGUCAGCUCGUGUCGUGAGAUGUUGGGUUAAGUCCCGCAACGAGCGCAACCCUUAUGACUAGUUGCCAGCAUUUAGUUGGGCACUCUAGUAAGACUGCCGGUGACAAACCGGAGGAAGGUGGGGAUGACGUCAAAUCAUCAUGCCCCUUAUGACCUGGGCUACACACGUGCUACAAUGGAUGGUACAACGAGUUGCGAGACCGCGAGGUCAAGCUAAUCUCUUAAAGCCAUUCUCAGUUCGGACUGUAGGCUGCAACUCGCCUACACGAAGUCGGAAUCGCUAGUAAUCGCGGAUCAGCACGCCGCGGUGAAUACGUUCCCGGGCCUUGUACACACCGCCCGUCACACCAUGAGAGUUUGUAACACCCGAAGCCGGUGGCGUAACCCUUUUAGGGAGCGAGCCGUCUAAGGUGGGACAAAUG